CAGAUAUAAUCAAAUGCAAAAUCAUUACAUGAUUGUACCUUCUUUUUUUUUGGUCUUUUUAAGGCUGCAGCUGAGACAUAUGGAAAGUUCCCCAGCUAGGGGUCGAAUAGGAGCUGCCGCUUCUGGUCUACACCCCGGCCACGGCAACCCCACAUCCAGGCCGUGUCUGUGACCUACACCACAGCUCAUGACAAUGCCAGAUCCUUAACCCACUGAGCGAGGCCAGGGAUCAAACUCACAUCCUCAUGGAUCCUAGUUGGGUUUGCAACCCGCUGAGACACAACAGGAAGUCCCUAAAAUGAUUGUCCUUUUAACGUGAGGAUGUAAGUGGACUAGCUGUCAUGCUUUCUAGUUAGUUCUAAUAGACUUUUCAUGAGCCGGGAAGUUACAAAACAGUAGUUACAAUGACAUAUAAUUUAGUUUCAUAUUAUCUUGCACAAGAGAAAUUCUUAUAAAUUAAUUUAAAAAUACUGUGUGAAAGGGAAUGAGGUUUUGAAGGAGAAGUCUUGGGUUUGGGUUCUGGGUGGACCGUUGAACUCUUCAUCCUCAGCCAGCUCAUUGUCAUGGGCUUCCAGAGAAAUGAUCUAUUAAGAAGUGCUGCUAAGAGUAACUCUUCCAUUGAGUUGCUGAAAGAGCCUCGCGGAAAGCUAAUUUCUGUAAAAGAAUGCAGCCAGCUGCAGAGCUCAGUGCAAAUUUAGAGCUGUCAUAAAAGUAAUAGUCCUCGCUUUAAAUAGCAAUAUACAUACAUUUUUCUUUUAGAACUUUAUUCAUAAGAAAUUAAUAUGAAUAGUAAUAGUAAUUCUAUUACUCCAGUAGUAAUUCUAAUUCCUUCAGUAGUAAAACGAAGUGUAAUUUCUUUGCCUACAUUUGAUAGCAAGACAAUAAUGUUUAAGGCUUUCAUAGGUUUAAUAGAUAAUGGAGAUUAGAACUCUUUAAAAAUGAUCUCAUUUGUCCUUGAAUAAUAAAAAGACACUGCAGUCACAUUAGUAUUCCGUUGGCUUUUUUUAUUUUAUCCCAACUUUCUGAGCUAUUUCUUAAAGACUCAUUGAAUAUUUUGCCACCUCUUUGGGAACUCGCAAAAUGAUAUUUAGGGAAGGAUUCUUUUUUAGAACGUUACUAGGUAAGCAACAUGGGCAGAUGUGUUCCAGGUUCAUCCACCAUCCUGGUGACAGGUAAGGGCUCUUGGAAGAAAACCUCAGGAAGAGAUGAAAGGCCCUAUUUCUGGGGAAGGGGGCCUCUAGAAGGCAGAAGGCCCUCUUCUCAUGAAGGAAGCGCAUCUGCUGGAGGCCUGGAGAGGGGUCUUUGCCGAAGGGCAACGGGAGUCUUUGAGCAGCCGCUGGUCCAUUUCCUGUUAACACAAAGCCAUCAUUUCCCUCCUGAUGAAAGCACUUUGGAGCUCAGACUGGAUGACUUGGCGCUAAAGUCACCCUGCCUGGGAGUCUUUCUUCCCGGAUAGAGAGUGGGUUACUGAAGACCCAGGGAGAGAUGGGCUGGGGCGGUCUGCCUUCCGUGGCCUGUGCCCCUCCACCAAGGAUGAGAUUGAGGUGGGCAGGAGAGAGGAAAGAUGACGUCGCUGCUUCCUGGCCCUCUUUGAUUGGCCCCUAUGCUCCUCCAGCCUAUAACUCCUGCUGUUCUAAACGUGGGCAGUGUGGAAGACGUGAUGGUAGCUUGUCGUGACACCAGGCUCGGCUGAUGGACGGUCCACGUGCAGAGGGAACCCAUCCCAUGUGGUGUCAAACCCUAGUUUGCUGGGGAACCUUAGAGCAACGAGUAGACUUAGUGUCUUGAGCCAAAAAGCUGAAAGGCAAAAGAGAGUAAAGCUAUCAUCUCAAUGAGAAUGUCUUUCCUAAACCAUUCAGUCUUCUCAAAACAGGAUGGGUAAGAAAGUGUGUUGUGUUGCCAGCACGUGCUCAGAAACACGGUGGGGGCGUCAGACGUCCUGAGAGAGGACUACAUGGCUGGAGCAUCACACCCAUUCUCCUGGCCAGGAGUUUACAUCCAUCAGAUUGAAAAUACUGUGUCUCCAACGCAGCAUAAAGCAUGGCCAUGCAUCCUGGACCACCUUAGAAUUCGUUCUGCCCGGAAACAAUCCCUUUGUGUUUUCCAUCCCGUGGCAUGAUUCUCUGCCUGACUCUAGUUUUGGCAGAACUUUUGCUUCAGCCUGUCGUGUCGGAAUUCAGCUCAGGGCUGGGAUGUUUGCCUUCCGAGAAGUUACUGGCAAGCCCCCGCUCUUGGUUUGUUUUCAGAUUUGCUGGCUGGCUGAUCUCCAAGCUUGUCCAUCAGCCAGAAAGCAUGUAUUCUGCAAAUCACAACUGGAAAUCAUCCCUGGAGCCAGGCCAGGCUGCCCGUUUCGGAAGAUAAAGUGUGCUCCACGUGGGAAUCACAGCGACAGAAUGGAUGUGUUUUAUUUUUCAUAAUGCUUGAGCCGUAAAUGUGAGCUAACGAGAGAGAGCGCCUGUCAAAUACCUCACAGGUUAGGUGGGUAGUGGACAUGCCAAAUACAGUCCUUUCUCUUCUUCUUGUACCUCUUUUCUCCCUUCACUUUGCAAGUGAAGACGUAACGUGUUAGGGAUGGUUACCUAAAGCUUCUGAAAGGUCGUCAGUACGACACGGGGCGUGUGUGUGUGUGUGUGUGUGUGUGUGUGUGUGUGUGUGUGUGUGUGUGUAUAGGAUUACAGUGUCUAAUGGUACAUUUCCUGGGGACUAAGUUUAAGCUAUGCAAAAUGACAAGAGCAGUCUAAUGAUCACAAUGUAACACGCUGUCAAUUGAAGUGUAACUGCUUACCCUAAUGCCCCGUUGAAAGCUGAUAAGCAACUCUGCUUCGGAUACAAUGUAACGCCUAUCUUAGGACCACCUGAAGUGCAUGAGCAUCAAAGGUGGGAGCAAGGCCGAGGCCUUGAACACGUCCAUGACUCCACCACUGCUAGUAAGUACAUUUCUGAAUCCACCUCCACCAACUCCAUCAGGGCUUUAAACCCCCUUCUGCUGGAGCUUUUCCCCCGAUCUUGUAACCGAGCCGAUGCCCUAUGGGGCUCCUGGGCACACGAGCCUCGCUGUGUCCUCCAUGGCUUGUUUUUAGGAAGGAAGCCUCAGCCUCCAUGACCUACCCUAAGUUCCAAAGGGCAGGUUUACACAGAUGCAAGUCAGGGAAGGGAGGGGAAGCAGAGACUGGAGAGGAGGAGCCUUCAAGACGCAGUGGUGCAGGAGCGCCCGUCGUGGCUCUGUGGACUCAAAGCUGACUAGCAUCCAUGAGGAUGCAGGUUUGAACCUUGGCCUCUCGCAGUGGGUUAAGCAUCUGACGUUGCCAUGAGCUGUGGUGUAGGUUGCAGAUGCAGCUCAAUCUGAUGUUGCUGCAGCUGUGGCGUAGGCCGGCAGCUGCAGCGCCAAUUCAACCCCGAGCCUGGGAGCUUCCAUAUGCUGCAGGGUCAGCCCUAAAAAGCCAAAAAAGAAAAAAAA
rnacentral:lncRNA from 1 species